rnacentral:rRNA from 1 species
UACGAAGGGUGCAAGCGUUACUCGGAAUUACUGGGCGUAAAGCGCGAGUAGGUGGUUGCUGAAGUCUGCUGUGAAAGCCCCGGGCUCAACCUGGGAAUUGCAGUGGAUACUGGGGAGCUAGAGCGCGGUAGAGGGUAGUGGAAUUCCCGGUGUAGCGGUGAAAUGCGUAGAUAUCGAGAGGAACACCUGCGGCGAAGGCGGGUUGCUGAGCUGAAACUGACGCUGAUGCGCGAAAGCUAGGGGAGCGAACGGG